CACGUAGGAACCGAGCGUUAUCCGAAUUUACUGGGCGUAAAGCGCGUGUAGGUGGUUCGAUAAGUUGGGUGUGAAAGCUCCUGGCUCAACUAGGAGAGGCCGCUCAAGACUGUCGGACUUGAGAACGGUAGAGGGAGGUGGAAUUCCCGGUGUAGUGGUGAAAUGCGUAGAUAUCGGGAGGAACACCAGUGGCGAAGGCGGCCUCCUGGACCGUUUCUGACACUGAGACGCGAAAGCUAGGGGAGCGAACGGG
rnacentral:rRNA from 1 species